rnacentral:lncRNA from 1 species
GGGGCGACGGCCAGAAGUCCAGGGCUAGGAGCCUCAGCCGGCGGACGCCAGGAAACAGCUUUCCCACAGUUAGAUCAUCAGCAAAUGUCACUUGGAUCCCUAGCUAAAUUGUUCUUCCCAGAAAAUAGUUAUCUCCACUAUGGAAAGUAUUUUAUCAGAAGAAUUCGUAGAAGUAGAAUCUGUUUGUCUUCAGUUAAACAAAAGAAGAACCUCAUUGCUUUCCAACUGGGCCCCGGCCAUUUUCCAGUUGAAACAUCAAAUAUUUUAUUUGUGUCUUUCACUGCCAAUUAAAGGGCAACAGAAAUGGUACAGGUAAAUCAUCUUCUCUUUGGAGGUCUUUCCAAAGAAGACUUUAAUUCAAGCAUUUCCUAGAGUAUGUACCAUAAAGUCUUAUCUGCAGAUUUAGACUUGAAUAUGCAUUACAUCAUUGGAAAAUAUUAUGUCACUGAAAUUGGAAAAGGUUGAGUUAAACAAAACUAAACUAUUAACUG